rnacentral:lncRNA from 1 species
GUGGUCAGGUUUCGAUGGAACAGCAUGUCCCGAUUGGAGAAGGUCUAUCUGAAGAACAGUGUCAUGGAGCUGAUCGCAAAUGUGAGUAAAGGGUUACUGGGGGACUUGUGUUCUUAUAUAGUGGUGUAAAAAGCCAUGACUUGCACAUAGGUCAGACCAGGUGACAGUAAGGAGAGACCAGAGGAGAUUGAAGAUGCUCAGCAGGUGAAUGAAGAAGAUCCUUAGCUAUAGCCAGAUGUGGUGUCCCACACCUUUAUCCCUGCUGGGUGCAGGGAUUACAGGCAGGCACUAGCAGUCUGGCCUUGCAUUACUUUUAAUGGGAACAAGAUGCUUUGCCAACUUAUGGAGCAGGUUAGCUAGCUAGCUAAGACUUGCAAUUUACUAGCCAAAGGAGAUUAAUUGGUUACUCAUCAAUUUUAAUGUUUAAAUUCUUGGAAGACAGUGCUAGUAUAUGUUUCUCUUUUACUAUUAGAGCUCCUGGGACUGUAGCACUCUGGGUGCCCUGAAAGUCUCUUCAGUUGGUGAAUAAGAGCAGCAAUGUUUUCCUGGCUCUGUGACAGCUAUUUAUUAGCUGUGGGAACAGUGACCAUUGAGAAUGCAGGCCAGGUGACACAGACAUGGAGAACAGGUUUAGGUUCAAAAGAGACCUGGUGAUCAGUGUUGUGCUUCUGUUUAUGUAGAGGAUUGGGUGUGGUAAGGGCUUGGCGUGUAUUGUGAGAUCAGAGGACACCUUGAGACAAUCGAUUCUCUCCCUAACCAUUUGGGUCCUGGGGAUGGAACUGAGGUCAUCAGCCUUGGACCCCAGUACCUUUACUCACUGAGCCAUCUCCUGUGCGUGCACACACACACACACCAUCACCCCCUUUUUUUUUUUUUGAGGUAGGGUUUCAUGUAGUUCAGGCUGGCCUCGGACUUGCUAUGUACAGACAGACAUAUAAUGGAGAACGUCACUGAAGGUUAGAGGCACCUUUCAGAAGUCCGCCUCUCCUUUCACCGUGGGUUCCAGCAGUUGAGCGCAGGUCACCAGGCUUAUACAGCCAGCCCUUUGAUCCUGCUGAGCCAUCUCACUGCUCAGAGGAGGGCUUGAUCUUCUGACACCCUAGCUCCACUUCCUCUUUGUGGGAUUAUAGGUUUGUCCCACCACACUCAGCUUAUGUCCUACUGGGGUUCAGACCCUGGGCCCCAGCAAAUAUUGUGCCAGCUGGACUACAGUCCAAGUUCCAACCUCUGUGUCUUUAUAGCACACUUUUCAUGCCUAGAAAUCCAGUCUUACAGUCUUCACAAUCUCAUUCUUUUUCAGGGAACACUGAGGAUUUUGGAGGAGGAGAACCACAUUAAAGAUGUUCUGUCUAGAAUUGUGGUAGAGAUGAUCAAACGAGAGUGGCCACAGCACUGGCCUGACAUGCUCAUGGAGUUGGAUACUCUCUUCAGGCAAGGGGUAUGGAGGACGUGUGUGCUGGCUACGUGUGCUUGUGUUAGAUCUCCUGGAGGGUGUGCUUGGUGGGCGUGCCCGUGGUUUUAUCCGUGGCGGGUCAUCGCUGGCAUGCGUACCCGGUCGGAUGCUCUUGUUUAAGUAGCCUCUGUCUAUUGGCCUAGGAAACGCAGAGGGAGUUGGUGAUGUUCAUCCUUCUCCGACUGGCCGAGGAUGUAGUGACCUUUCAGACGCUCCCCACUCAAAGAAGAAGGGAUAUUCAGCAAACAUUGACGCAGAACAUGGAAAGAAUCUUGAAUUUUCUACUCAAUACGCUUCAGGAAAAUGUAAACAAGUACCAACAAAUGGUAUGACUUCCUGCCCUGCACCAUCCCAUCUUCCCUGUCCCCACUGAGCCCUGCAGGGAUGCUAACCCUUCAGCUCACUGAGUGAACGUCUGUCUCUAAGCUGACCCUGCUCAGUGUCCAAGCAGGCAUGGACUUGUGAUCAUUCCUCUUGAGUAGCUGGGAUGACAGACCACUGGGUACAGCAGAUGUCCUGUCUUUGAUCUCAAUGUGUUUUGUUUGAGGGGACGUUGUUUAUUAUUUUGCUUUUAUGAAAAUACCUUUCCAGGGAGAAAUUAGGGUACCUGGUUUAGCAAAAGAAAAGACCAUCUUAAGAGCAAAAUUUACAGGAAAUAAUAGGAGAAAAACUAAUAAACCUGUUUUCUCAGAUAUUCAGGGCAGUGAGUUUCCAUGUAAAUUCCUCCCAGAAUAAGAACAUUCUUUUAAAACAGCAUAAAAGUAUGGUGGAAUGCUCCCUUAUUCCCAGCAUAGAGAGGCAGAGGCAGGCUCAUCUCCUGAGUUCCAGGCCAGUCUGGUAUACUAAUGAAAUUCAAGUUAGCUAGGGGUACACAGUGAGACUUCAUUUUCAAAAACUAACAGAAGCGUAAAACUGUAAGUUAAAAGUCUAGGCAGAGGUGGCCCAGUAGCUGAGAGCACGGCCUGCUCUUACCAAAUACCUAAGUUUGAUUCCUAGCACCCACAUGGUAUCUCACAGCCAUCUGUAAAUCGAGUCCCAGAGGCUCUGGCUUUGAUACCCUCCCUCUUCUGGCCUCAAGAGCUAGACACACCUUUAUACACAAAUAUACAUGCCAGCAAAAUCCCCAUACAUAUUAAUUCACAACAACAAGAGGAACCUUGUAGAUUUUUGAUAGGUCAGGUCCUGAUAAGUCACUAUUCCCGUGGUCCUGUUCCUUUUAUACUGGGUUCAUUCAGUGUCUAUUAGUCAUCACUAUGCAGUGCAUGGUGUUCUGUUCUUAGAGGGAUUUUCCUUUUGCAGAGAGCUUCAACAGUGCUGCCUUUCCCAUGUUUAUCAUAUUUUAGAAGCCUUUUUUCAGAAGGCAUUUGAAAGUUUAUCCCGGAGCUUGAGAUGGCUCCUCAGUAAAGAGCUGAGGACCUGUGGGUGCUUCUGAGCACCCACAGGGCAGUUCCUGACUAACUCCAUUUCCAAGGACCUGAUCUCCUCUUUUGGCCUCCACUGCCAAUAAAUAGAUUGUGUGUAUUCACUUAGGCACCUUCACAUGAAUGAAAAUAAAAAUAUUUUCCAAGGAAAAUUUUAAUGUGGUGUAGUGGUUGCAUGCCUUUAAUCUCAGUACUCGGGAGGCAGAGACAAGUAGGUCUCUGUAAGUUUGAGGCUGGACUGGUAUAUGAAGCGUGUUCCAGACAGACAGACAGGGCUGUUGAACAGGGAAACCUUGUC